rnacentral:rRNA from 1 species
UACGAAGGGGACUAGCGUUGUUCGGAAUUACUGGGCGUAAAGCGCACGUAGGCGGAUUUGUUAGUCAGGGGUGAAAUCCCGGGGCUCAACCUCGGAACUGCCUUUGAUACUGCAAGUCUCGAGUCCGAUAGAGGUGGGUGGAAUUCCUAGUGUAGAGGUGAAAUUCGUAGAUAUUAGGAAGAACACCGGUGGCGAAGGCGGCCCACUGGAUCGGUACUGACGCUGAUGCGCGAAAGCGUGGGGAGCAAACAGG